rnacentral:lncRNA from 1 species
GACACGCAAAGGCCAGAUCAGAGUCAGUGCUUGUUCCUUUCUGAGCCCAUUUGUGGUUUUUGCAAUCCCAGAAUCAGAUUCACUUGCCAGCUGUUUGAGGCUUGUCCCAGGAGUCUACCCCACACCAUCCUAGUCUCUGUCUCUUUUGAUCAGCAAGUACUGGUGUUUGUUCCCAUGUGUGUGUGUGUGUCUGUGUGUCUGUGUGUCUGUGUGUGUGUGUGUCUUUCUGUGUUUGUGUGUCUGUUUCUCUCUCUCUGUAUGUGUCUGUGUGUAUGUCUGUCUAUCUGUGUGUGUGUCUGUGUAUGUCUGUGUAUAUGUGUAUCUGUGUGUGUAUCUGUGUGUGUGUGUGUAUCUGUGUGUCUGUUUCUCUCUCUCUUUCUCUCUCUCUCUGUGUCUGUUUCUCUCUCUCUCUGUAUGUCUCUGUAUGUCUAUCUGUCUGUCUGUCUGUCUGUGUGUGUAUGUGUGUAUCUCUCUUUGUCUGUGUGUGUGUAUAUCUGUGUGUCUGUUUCUCUAUGUGUGUGUGUGUGUGUGUGUGUGAUCUAAACUCAGCCCAUCUCUGUAUUGUUGCAGCUGCCCAGUGUCCGCUGGUUCCCUGGACCCAUGGAGCCCCUUCAGAGGAACACAAUGAGAUGCCGACUCAUGCUCUGCACUGACGCCCCCUUGAUGGACUACUGGUGCUGCUCUAGCUGAGUUUUCUGAGAUUCUAGACUUAGGUGACACCCAAUAAUUACCAGGUAAACAGACGGCCAAGAUGCUUAUGUUUCCUUGUACCCAAAGUUCAUACUUUGAACCACCUUCUGACCUAAUCUUCCUACACGGAAGCAAUAGUCCUCUGGUUCUAACCCAAUCCAGGGCUAGGAACCAGAAACAAGUCUGUCCCAAAGCCCUCUGACAUCAUUCACCCUGGCCAGUCUAGAGCUGUUCAAUCUAUAUUUUCUUUCCCACAGAAACUCUAGGUCACUUGCCUAGCAUAUAUGAGGCCUUGGCUUGGAACCCAGUCCAUCCCCCCAACCCCCCCAACCUCCUGUAGCCACCCUCAGCUACAUGAACCAGGUUUCUGAAAGGGAGGCUGGAGCUGCAUGGGAGAAAAUGGUGAGAGAAAUAACGAGACCAAGACAAAGAUUCUGAUCAAGGCCCAAAGUUUACUUAAGAGUCUGAGCUUAUAAAGGGGGGGGGGUUCCCAUCCCCUACCAUGCCAGGAUCUUGUUUUGUCAGGAUAGAGUCAGGAGAACAGGUUCAGCCUCUCAGCAGGUAGCUGCAUCUUGGAGAAAAUGGCAGAGGUGGCAGAACAAUAGACCUAUCUAUCUAGGUUGGGAGACUCCACCCUAGGUGGUCUUGUUCACAGCGGCACAACAGGUCUGAGGUAGCCUGCUCAAGGCUGGGGGAGGCUACAAUUUCUCCCUAAUUAUAUAAUAGAAAUUAGAUGGACUGAGACAUAAAAUGUACUUAUACUCCAUGGUCCUGCCUGGGAAUUAUGGUGGCUGGUGGCCACGCCUAUCUUAGGACUGCAGUCUUUAAUGAACUUAUUCUUAUCUGUCCUGGAGAACACGUGCAGCUUGUUUGUGUUUAUUUGCACAAACACGGCUCUAUUGUGUUAUUAUGAACAAACCACAACCUCUUGGCACAUGCCUCUGUCUUAUAUUGAAAAUAAGUCAUAGACCCCAUGGCCCGUCCUUGGCUCCCAGCCAAGGACUCAUUGUACACCUUUUCCCCAAUCAGACCAAAGCCACAAUAUACACUCAAUGCAUCUCUUCAUAUCGAUGAAUUUAUGCCAUCUGUGCUUGCUGAAGGUGAGUCUGCACGGAGGUAACUCCCUCCCAAAAUAAGUAAAAUGGACAUGUCUUUAUUUCCUUCCUCUCUGUACCCUGGCAUCCAUUAGUGGUUCUUCCCAGAGUCAUUUCUGAUAUAAAAUUCAAGGCCACCCAGCAAUCCCUGUGUUCACUGCCAUCAUUUCAGUCAAAUCUUCACUCUUCCUCUCUUGCUUUCAGCACUGAGACCAAAUCCAGAGCCAGGUUUCUGCUCUGCAAGUGCUCCACCAUUAAGCAACACCAGCCCCAGCAGGAUAUUUUUUACAGAAUUGAUCCAGCCUUGGUCCAGCUGAGUACUGCUGUUCUUGGUUUAUUUUGUGGCUGUGACAAAUACCUUGACAGAGAGCAGCAUGAUGGAGAAGAGGGUUUGUUUGGCUUACAAUUCCAGGUCACAGACCUUCACUGUGGGAAAGUCAAGGUGUGUCCAACCAGACCUAGCUAAUCCCUCACCGAAACUGUCUUCCUAGAUGAUUCUGGACUGGGGGCUUAAGAUUGUGUCUAAUGCAUACAAGCUUCAUGGAUGGAUUCUAAUGCCGUUUUCCUGCAUCUGCCCAGCAGCAAGCUGUCACUGGGUCCCUUGACUUCUCAAAGCUCUUCUGACUCAUUGGUUGAGACCCACCUUGAUUUGAGUUUUGAACUGGGGAUACUUGAAAAGAGAGAUAGUGUGGUUCUUAGAACCAGACCCUGUGUUCGAAUUAUAAUCCCUCAGAUGCUUCUGGGGGCCACACAGCCCAACACAGAAAACAAAAGGAAGAGCAGACCCCCACGGAGCUUCAUAUCAAUUUUCACUUAGUCUUUGGUAAAGUUCCACAAUGCCUGCUUUAGAGCACACAGUAGGCACUCAAAAGCCUUAGCAGGUAUAAGACAGCAUCAAGCAUAGACCAACCAGCUGGUUUACAAGGUCAGAAUAAAAAGACAGCAAUUUAAGUGUCUUAGUCACUCUUCUGUUGCUGUAAAGAGACACCAUGGCCAAGGCAACUUAAAAAAAGAGAGCAUUUAAUUGGGAGCUUGCUUACAGUUUCAGAAGUUAGUCCAGUGGCUGUUAUGGCAGAGAGCAUAGCAGGAGGCAAACAAGCAGGCAGGCAAGCAGAAAAGGUAUUAGAACAAAGCAGCUGAGAGCUUACAUCUGAUUGGAAAGCCUGAGGCAGAAAGGCAGAUAACUGGGCCUGGUCAAAGCUUUUUCAAACUCAAAAUCCACCUCCAGCAAUACACCUCCACCAAGGCCACACCUCCUCCUCCCUCUUCUUUUUUUUUUUAAGAUUCACUUACAUUAUUUUAACUACAUGUGUGUGUGGUGGUGGUGGCAUUGCACAUGGAUGCAAAUGCUCACAGAGGUUAUAGGUAUGAGACUGCCCCUGGAGCUGGGGUGCAGACAGUUGCAAACCACCUGAAGUGGGUGCUGGGACUUGAACUCAGGUCCUCAGGAAGAGCUCUUAGUGUCUCCAGCCCCAGGCCACACCUCCUAGUCCUUUCCAAACAGUUCCAUGAACUGUGGAUUAAGCAUCUAAAUAUUUGAGCCUAUGGGGGACCAUUCUCAUUCAAACCACCCCACCACAAAUGACAAGAAAGGCUGUUUCAACAGUUGACAAUAAAGAAGGCAUGACAGUGUCUUAUGAAGGAGUUAACACAAUGACAUGGAUCUGUAGACGGCUGCCAGCCAUUCAGAGCAUAAUCAAAAGGAACAAGCUGGCACACAUGAACAUAAAUGUCCACAUACAAUGUUUGUAGACAUUUCAUUCAUAGUUGUAGCUGAGGAUGGGGCUCUGUUAGUAGAACUCUUCUCUAGCAUACACGAAGCCCUCUCUUAGUCCCCAGCACCACAUAAACCAGGCAUGGCAUAGUGGCAAACUCCAGAAACUCUAGACCUUAGGUGGUGGAGGCAAGAGAUCAGAAGUUCAAAGUCCAACUACGCAGGAAGUUCAAGACCAGCCUUAGCCAAAACAACAAAAGACCCUUUCCCAAAACAACAAAAAGUUUCAUUCAUGAUUGUCAAAAUGGACAGCAAGAUGGCUUGGCAGGAAAAGAUGCUUGCGACUAAGCCUGUGUUCUAUACAGGGUAGAAGGUAAAAGCUCCCCCUGCAAGCUGUUCUCUAACCUCUACACACACAGUAAUGGUACAUCCACACCUUUCCCUCACAGGAAAUUCAUUAAUUAAUUAUUCUUAGGGUUCCAAUUUCUGUGAUGAAACACCAUGACCAAAGGCAACGUGGAAGGAAAGAAUUUAUUUCAGCUUACACUUCCACAUCAGUCCAUCACAGAGAAGUCAGGGCAGGAACUCAAAAUUGAGCAGGACCAUGGAGGCAGGAGCUGAUACAGAGGCCAUGGAGGGCCACUAAUCACUGGCUUGCCCCUUGCGACUUUCUUACCACAUCCAGGAUCAUCAGCCCGCAGGUGCCACCAUCCACAAUGGCUGGGUCCACUCAUAUAAACCAUCAAUCAAGAGAAUGCGCCAUAGAAUGAGUCUAUUAGUCAACCUGGUGGAGGUAUUCUCUCUUUUGAGGUUCCCACUACCAAAAUUACUCUAGCCUGUGUCAGCUUGACAUAAAAAUUAGCACAUAAAUUUAGUAAAAAAAAAAAAAAAUCAAAAUUAACAAAGAUACCAUAAUUUUCAACAGUUGUAGACAAUUCAAAAGGUGAAUUAGUAAACUGAAGUUCAACAGUUCAACAAUACCAUGGGAUAUAAUUAAGCAGACUUAAUAAAUGAGCUCUCAGCUAUAAAAACAAAAACAAAAACAUGAAAGAAACUUAAGAACAUACUACUUAGUGAAGGAAGCCAUUCUGAAAAAUUCACAAAGGGCACUGUGGAAUAAACAAAAACAUAGAGAUGAAAACAUAAAGAAAUAAAAACAGACAAA